rnacentral:rRNA from 1 species
AGGAUGAACGCUGGCGGCGUGCUUAACACAUGCAAGUCGAACGGUGAAGCAGGAGCUUGCUCUUGUGGAUCAGUGGCGAACGGGUGAGUAACACGUGAGCAACCUGCCCCUGACUCUGGGAUAAGCGCUGGAAACGGCGUCUAAUACUGGAUACGAACAGCGACCGCAUGGUCAGUUGUUGGAAAGAUUUAUUGGUUGGGGAUGGGCUCGCGGCCUAUCAGCUUGUUGGUGAGGUAAUGGCUCACCAAGGCGUCGACGGGUAGCCGGCCUGAGAGGGUGACCGGCCACACUGGGACUGAGACACGGCCCAGACUCCUACGGGAGGCAGCAGUGGGGAAUAUUGCACAAUGGGCGCAAGCCUGAUGCAGCAACGCCGCGUGAGGGAUGACGGCCUUCGGGUUGUAAACCUCUUUUAGCAGGGAAGAAGCGAAAGUGACGGUACCUGCAGAAAAAGCACCGGCUAACUACGUGCCAGC